AACAGAAUUUUUCACAGAACUAAAAUAAAUACUAAACUUUGUAUGGAACUACAAAGACCCCAAUAGCCAAAGCAGUCUUGAAAAAACAACAAAACUGGAGGUAUCACAACCCCAAAUUUCAAGAUAUACCACACACCUGUAGUAAUCAAAACAGUAUGGAAUUGUCACAAAUAUAGACACAUAUAUCAAUAGAACGUUAUAGAAACCCAGAAAUGAACCCACAAUUAUAUGGUCAAUUAAUCUUUGACAAAGGAGGAAUGAAUAUACAAUGGAAAAAAGUCUCUUCAAUAAAUGGUGUUGGAAGAACUGGAUAGCUACAUGCAAAAGAAUGAAACUGGACCACUUUCUUACACCAUACACAGAAAUAAAUUCAAAAUGGAUUAAAGACCUAAAUGUGAGACAUGAAACCAUAAAAAUCCUAGAAGAGAGCACAGACCGUAAUUUCCCUGACAUUAGCUGUAACAAUUUCUAGAUAGGUCUACGGAGGCAAGUGAAACAAAAAAUAAACUACACCAAAAUAAAAGCUUCUGUACUGCAAAGUAAACAACGAAGAAACAUGAAAGCCUGCUGAAUGGGAGAAGAUAUUUGCAAAUUACAUAUAUGAUAAAGGAUAUCCAAAUAUACAAAGAAUGUAUACAACUCAACAAAACAAAUAUUCCAGUUAAAAAAUGGGCAGAAGACAUGAACUGACUUUUCUCCAGAAGAGACCAACAGAUGGCCAACAGACAUAUGAAAAGAUACUCAGUAUCACUUAUCAUCAGGGAAUUGCAGAUCAAAACCACAAUGAGAAAUCUCUCACAUCUGUCAGUAUGGCUAAAAACUAAAAUACAAACAAUAACUGUUGGUGAGUAUGUGGAGAAAAACUGUUGGGAAUGCAAACUGGUACAGCCACAGUAGAAUAUAGUAUGGAGAUUCCUCAAAAAAUUAAAAAUAAAACUACCAUAUGAUCCACUGAUUUCACUACUGGAUGUUACCCAAAGAGUACAAAAACACUAAUUUGAAAAGAUAUAUGCACCUCUAUAUUUAUUGCAGCACUUCUUACAAUAACCAAACUAUGAAAGCAAUGCAAGUGUCCAUCAGGAGAUGAAUGGAUAAAGAAGAGGUUGUGUAUACAUACAAUGGAAUAGUAUUCAGUCAUUUAAAAAAUGAAAUCUUGCCAUUUGCAGCAUCGUGGGUAGAUCUACAGGAUAUAAUGCUAAGUGAAAUAAGUCAGAGAAAGACACAUACUGUAUGAUUUCACUCAUAUGUGAAAUUUAAGAAACAAAACAAAUGAACAAGGAAAAAAAGACAAUCCAAAAAAAAACCCAGACUCUGAACUAGAGAGCAAAGUGAUGGUUAUCAGAGAGGAGAUGGGCAGGAGGGGCGGUGCAUGACACAGGUAAAGGGGAUUAAGAGUCCACUUAUCUCAGUGAGCACUAACGUACAAAAUUCUUGAAUCACUGUAUUGUACACCUGAAACUAAUACUAUAUGUAAUAAAAAUUUUAAUAAAAAAUAAAAUAGGCAUCCCAGUCAGUUGUGCUUUUGCGCCCCUGCAAGUCACAGCUUUCUAAUUUAAUUUUGAGUAAAACAAGUUUGUGAAGAUUAAAAGUUUUCCAUAAUAGCCAUUGAGGUUCAAAAUUACUUUUGGCUAAGUUGAUCCAUUUAGUUAUAAUUAUACAUGCAUGAAGAUGAUAGAUUUUUUUUUUUUUUUUUUUUUUUUGAGAAGAGAGGGAAACAGAAUCCCAAGCAGCCUCUUCCCUGCCAGCACAGAGUCCGACGUGGGGCUCUAACCCACAAACCGCAAGAUCAUAACCUGAGCUGAAGUCAAGAAUCAGACACUGAACUGACUGAGCCACCCAGGCAUCCCAAUAAGAGACCCUUUUUUUUUAUGUUUAGUUUUGAGAGAGAGAGCGAGCAUGAAUGGGGGAGGGACAGAGAGAGAGAGGGAGACACAGAACUUGAAAUGGGUCCCACGCUCUGUACUAUCAGCACAGAGCCCAACGUGGGAUUUUUUUGUUCUUAUUUUAGAGAAUGAGUGAAUUGGGGAGAGGGGUAGAAGGAGAGAGAGAAUUUUAAGCAGGCUCCAUGCUCAGUGCAGAGCCCAAUGCAGGGCUUGAUCCCACCACCCUGGGAUCAUGACCAGAGCUGAAAUCAGGAGUAAGAUGCUCAAGUGAGCCACAGGCACUCCAGGACAUUAAAUUUUAAACAUAAAACCAGCCAGAGUCCCAGAAACAUGAGAAGUGGGGGGUACCCUCAAGCAUUUUGAUAACUGUUCUCCCAUUUCUUAGAGGCUUUUCUCUAGAGCAGAAAGAAAUUUCUAAACAGCACAGUUUCAGGGCGCAUGGAUGGCUGUCAGUUAAGCGUCCAACUUUGGCUCAGGUCAUGAUCUUGCAGUUUGUGAGUUCGAGCCCCACAUCAGGCUCUGUGCUGACAGCUCAGAACCUAAACCUGCUUUGGGUUCUCUGUCUUCCUCUCUCUUCCCCUCUCCCGCUUGUUCGUUUUCUCUCUCUCCCAAAAAAUAAAUAAUAAAACAUUUACAAAAAUAAAAAAAUAAACAGCACAGUUCCAACAGGAACAGUCUGGUUCUAAAAAGGAGGCAGACCAAAAGCUAGAACAGUUUCAGUAGGCACAGUCUGGUUCCAGGCAGGAGUCAAGCCAGAGACCAGCAUGGUUUCAUCAUGAAGAGUCUCGUGUCCUAAAAGGAGUCAGACCGAAGGCCACACAAGUACUCUCAGAGAUUGAAAAAACAAAAACACAAGGCCUGAAAACAGAUUGCAAA